GUAGGUAUAGUUUCAACAAAAAUGUUAGAUUGUGAUUCUAAAGACAGAGGUUAAAAUCCCCUUACCCACC
rnacentral:tRNA from 2 species